rnacentral:rRNA from 1 species
UAAACGAUAAACCACGAAGAAUCUUAUUUGUUUUAAGUAGUUUGUAUACCGUCAUUAUUAGAUAAUUUUGAGAAAAUCAAUUAUUGAAAUUAAAACUGAUAACUUUAAGUAUAUUAGAUCAAGGUGCAGCUUAUAGACAAGGAGAAAUGGGUUACAAUAAACUAAUUGUAUAUUUAAGUUUAGUAAGAUAAAUAGAAAUUGGCUCUAARAUAUGUACAUAUCGCCCGUCGUCGCGGGAAAA